rnacentral:rRNA from 1 species
UGCAGUCGAACGAUACCGAGAGGCUUGCUUCUCGGGAAAGUGGCGCACGGGUGCGUAACGCGUAUGCAACCUACCUCAAUCAGGGGGAUAGCCCGAAGAAAUUCGGAUUAACACCGCAUAAAAUCACAGGAUAGCAUUAUCUAAUGAUCAAAUAUUUAUAGGAUUGAGAUGGGCAUGCGUGUCAUUAGUUAGUUGGCGAGGUAACGGCUCACCAAGACCACGAUGACUAGGGGAUCUGAGAGGAUGACCCCCCACACUGGUACUGAGACACGGACCAGACUCCUACGGGAGGCAGCAGUAAGGAAUAUUGGUCAAUGGAGGCAACUCUGAACCAGCCAUGCCGCGUGCAGGAAGACAGCCCUCUGGGUCGUAAACUGCUUUUAUUCGGGAAUAAACCUACUUACGUGUAAGUAGCUGAAUGUACCGAAGGAAUAAGGAUCGGCUAACUCCGUGCCA